GAUGAACGCUGGCGGCGUGCCUAACACAUGCAAGUCGAACGGAGCAUAGAGGAAAGCGGCUUCGGCCAAUGGAAUCUAUCGCUUAGUGGCGGACGGGUGAGUAACGCGUGAGCAAUCUGCCUUUCAGAGGGGGACAACACCGGGAAACUGGUGCUAAUACCGCAUAAUGUAUUUUAAUCGCAUGAUUUAAAUACCAAAGGAGCAAUCCGCUGAAAGAUGAGCUCGCGUCUGAUUAGCUAGUUGGUGGGUAAUGGCCUACCAAGGCAACGAUCAGUAGCCGGACUGAGAGGUUGAACGGGCCACAAUUGGGACUGAGAUACGGCCCAGACUCCUACGGAGGCAGCAGUGGGGAA
rnacentral:rRNA from 1 species